rnacentral:other from 1 species
AUUUGCCUUGGGUGUUUGUGAUGCAUUUUUUCCUUAGAGCCAACACCUAACGAUGGGGGGCCAGUAUUAGGUAGCCUUGAAGUGCUUGAAAAAGCACCUAAGGCUAUUCUCGAGGUACCCACUUAUCAUUGCUAGGUUCUAGGAAAAAUCCGCACACGGCACCUUAGGCUUUAA